rnacentral:lncRNA from 1 species
AUUCAACCCUUUGUACAUAGAAAUUACAACUAUUUAUAGAAAAUAGAAAAUAACUUCCUACAUCUUAGAUUUUGACAAGUGUCUUAUAUUUAAUAACUUCCUAUAUCUAAGAUUGACACAUGUCCCUUNNNGAAUGACUUCUUCCGAUGUCUUAAAACAUAUGUCACUUCUUGUUGAAAAUGAAGCCUUCGACAGCAAAAUAGUUUAGUCGAAUUCCACUUAAUAUGGCUAACUUCGACAAAUCACGUUCCAUGCCUAAUCAAAUGAGUUUUUCUUCUAUUCAAAUUAUAACACCAAGUCGAAAUGAAUAUUACCAAUAUUAUAAUUUUGGUGUCAAC